rnacentral:rRNA from 1 species
CCUACGGGAGGCAGCAGUGAGGAAUAUUGGUCAAUGGGCGGGAGCCUGAACCAGCCAAGUCGCGUGAAGGAUGAAGGAUCUAUGGUUUGUAAACUUCUUUUAUAUGGGACUAAAGUGAGGCACGUGUUCCUUUUUGUAUGUACCAUAUGAAUAAGCCUCGGCUAACUCCGUGCCAGCAGCCGCUGUAAUACGGAGGAUGCGAGCGUUAUCCGGAUUUCUUGGGUUUAAAGGGUUCGUAGGUGGUUAAUUAAGUCAGCGGGUAAAGUUUGUGGCUCAACCAUAAAAUUGCCGUUGAAACUGGUGUACUUGAGUAUAUGUGAGGUAGGCGGAAUGCGUGGUGUAGCGGUGAAAUGCAUAGAUAUCACGCAGAACUCCGAUUGCGAAGGCAGCUUACUAAACUAUAACUGACACUGAAGCACGAAAGCGUGGGGAUCAAACAGGAUUAGAUACCCCAGUAGUC